rnacentral:rRNA from 1 species
UACGGAGGAUGCAAGCGUUAUCCGGAAUGAUUGGGCGUAAAGCGUCCGCAGGUGGCUGUGUAAGUCUGCUGUCAAAGAGCAAAGCUCAACUUCGUAAAGGCAGUGGAAACUACACGGCUAGAGUGCGUUCGGGGCAGAGGGAAUUCCUGGUGUAGCGGUGAAAUGCGUAGAGAUCAGGAAGAACACCGGUGGCGAAGGCGCUCUGCUAGGCCGCAACUGACACUGAGGGACGAAAGCUAGGGGAGCGAAAGGG